rnacentral:lncRNA from 1 species
AACUAGCUGCUAUCUAGGGAUCAGUUGUUCUCUUGUUAAUUUAGCUAGACCAUGGAUAUGCAUCAGUUUAUUUUUAGACAAUCCAGCUUGACACUCCAACUGUAAGGUGAUCUAUGAGUACUUUUUCUCUAGCGAGCUAGGAAAGUCUGUGAUAUUGAAUUUACUCUACCACUCCUCUUGGUGCUGCCCAUUCUCAAAAAAGAAAGCUUAUUUUCAGUUUCUUCGGUUCGUAUAUUCUAGUAGCUUCUUAUGGUAUUUUGCAUCUUGCUUGUUCUCCCUGAUUUACUUGUAUUUCCUUUGUGUAGUCUUGAUCAUUAUUCAUGAUCUCUAGUAACUUGAUUUCCAACUGUGAUUUUAUAUUUCCUUAUGCAACCCAUUCUUAAGAAAUAAUUCUUGACUUCAGAUGUGUUAUUCUACUUCUAAGUUAUAUCUUAGGUGGAUUGAACAGCAAAGACCUUUUGGUGUUUGUGGGUAUGUGAGGAGAGGGGGUUGGUUUUAAAAUAGGGACUUACUCUUCAACAUUCCAG